CCAGCAGCUGCGGUAAUUCCAGCUCCAAUAGCGUAUAUUAAAGUUGUUGCAGUUAAAAAGCUCGUAGUUGGAUUUCUGGUGGGAGCGAUCGGUCCGACACUUUGUGUGGGUACUCGUAUUGUCUCCGGCCAUCCUUGGGCGGAGCUUGUCUGGCAUUAAGUUGUCGGGCAGGGGAUGCCCAUCGUUUACUGUGAAAAAAUUAGAGUGUUCAAAGCAGGCUUAUGCCGUUGAAUAUAUUAGCAUGGAAUAAUAAGAUAGGACCUCGGUACUAUUUUGUUGGUUUGUGUGCCAAGGUAAUGAUUAAUAGGGACAGUUGGGGGUAUUCGUAUUUAGUUGUCAGAGGUGAAAUUCUUGGAUUUACGGAAGACGAACUACUGCGAAAGCAUUUACCAAGGAUGUUUUCAUCAAUCAAGAACGAAAGU
rnacentral:rRNA from 1 species